AGCGAACGCUGGCGGCAGGCCUAACACAUGCAAGUCGAACGAACCUUUCGGGGUUAGUGGCGGACGGGUGAGUAACACGUGGGAACGUGCCUUUAGGUUCGGAAUAACUCAGGGAAACUUGUGCUAAUACCGAAUGUGCCCUUCGGGGGAAAGAUUAAUUGCCUUUAGAGCGGCCCGCGUCUGAUUAGCUAGUUGGUUGAGGUAAUGGCUCACCAAGGCGACGAUCAGUAGCUGGUCUGGGAGGAUGAUCAGCCACCUUGGGAGAGGGACCCGGCCCAAAUCCCCCGGGGAGGGAGAAAGGGGGAAGGUGCGACAAUGGGCGAAUGCUGAAGGCAGUCAGGCCGGGAAAAUAUGUAAGGUUUGAAGAUUAAAAAUUUAUUUACCCGGGGACGUUAAGACGGGAACCCAGAAGAAAGCCCCCGCUAAAUUCGUG
rnacentral:rRNA from 1 species